UAAUACCGCAUACGUUCUCUGGUGUGGGCUAGAGAAGAACCUUUCUCUUAGCAGCAAGGGGAGGGGCUGAUGGAUGGGACUGCGGCGGAUUAGCUAGAUGGUGGGGUAACGGCCUACCAUGGCGACGAUCCGUAGCUGGUCUGAGAGGACGACCAGCCACACUGGGACUGAGACACGGCCCAGACUCCUACGGGAGGCAGCAGUGAGGAAUAUUCCACAAUGGGCGAAAGCCUGAUGGAGCGACGCCGCGUGAGGGAAGAAGCCUUUCGGGGUGUAAACCUCUUUUCUUUGGGAUGACACACCCUCUCACGAGGGUUAGGACAGUACCAGAGGAAUAAGCAUCGGCUAACUACGUGCCAGCAGCCGCGGUAAUACGUAGGAUGCAAGCGUUGUCCGGAUUUACUGGGCGUAAAGCGCGCGCAGGCGGCACCACAAGUACUUUAUGAAAUCUCCUUGCUCAACGAGGAGGGUAUACGGUAGACUGUGGAGCUAGAGGAGGGUAGAGGGGGGUAGAAUUGCUGGUGUAGCGGUGAAAUGCGUAGAGAUCAGCAGGAAUACCCGUGGCGAAGGCGGCCCCCUGGGCCCAUACCUGACGCUGAGGCGCGAAGGCUAGGGGAGCGAACG
rnacentral:rRNA from 1 species